GGAGAAGGUCCAUAGCUCAGUGGCAGAGCACCUCCUUUGUUUGCAGAAGGUCCCAGGUUCAAUCCCCAGCAUUUCCA